UGAACGCUGGCGGUAGGCCUAACACAUGCAAGUCGCACGGCAGCACAGUAAGAGCUUGCUCUUACGGGUGGCGAGUGGCGGACGGGUGAGGAAUACAUCGGAAUCUACUUUUUCGUGGGGGAUAACGUAGGGAAACUUACGCUAAUACCGCAUACGACCUACGGGUGAAAGCAGGGGAUCUUCGGACCUUGCGCGAUUGAAUGAGCCGAUGUCGGAUUAGCUAGUUGGCGGGGUAAAGGCCCACCAAGGCGACGAUCCGCAGCUGGUCUGAGAGGAUGAUCAGCCACACUGGAACUGAGACACGGUCCAGACUCCUACGGGAGGCAGCAGUGGGGAAUAUUGGACAAUGGGCGCAAGCCUGAUCCAGCCAUACCGCGUGGGUGAAGAAGGCCUUCGGGUUGUAAAGCCCUUUUGUUGGGAAAGAAAAGCAGCAGGUUAAUACCCCGCUGUUCUGACGGUACCCAAAGAAUAAGCACCGGCUAACUUCGUG
rnacentral:rRNA from 1 species